CUGAGACCUGUCUCAGAUUUUCUGGGUUCAAGUGCCUGUAAACACAACACUUUGGGAGGCCAAGGCAGGAGGAUCACUUGCACCCAGGGUUUUGAGACCAACCUGGGCAACAAAGAAAGACCCCAUCUCUACAAAAAAUAGAAAUUAGCCAGCCAUGGUGGCACGCACCUGUCUUCCUGGCUAUUCAGGAAGCUGAGGCAGGAGGAUCGCUUGAAUACAGCAGGUCAAGGCUGCAGUGAGCUGUGUUCGUGCCACUGCACUCCAGUCUCGGCGACGGAGUGAGACUGUCACACACACACACACACACACACACAUACACACAGGCCGGGCGCGGUGGCUCGCACCUGUAAUCCCAGCACUUUGGGAGGCUGAGUCGGGCAGAUCACAAGGUCAGGAGUUCGAUCACAAGGUCAGGAGCUCGAUCACAAGGUCAGGAGCUCGAUCACAAGGUCAGGAGCCUGGCCAAUAUGGUGAAACCCUGCCUCUACUAAUAACACAAAAAUUAGCCGGGCGUGGUGGCACGCGCCUGUAGUCCCAGCUACUGGGGAGACUGAGGCAGGAGAAUCACUUGAACCCGGGAGGUGGAGGUUGCAGUGAGUCGACAUCGCACCACUGCACUCCAGCCUGGGUGACGGUGAGACUGUCUCCAAGAAAAAAGAAAGAAAAGCAUGUAGUUAACCUGCAACGACAUCAAACACAGAGUUUCUUCUCCUUCCUCCUGCAAGGCUCUUGUAUUGGUUCGAACCCUGAGAGAACGCCAACAAACAACACAAGGCAGUGUGGAGCAACAGGCAGUUUUAAUGAAUGCCUGAAGGCAGACCUUCAGGCCAUUUCAGGCCGAGGCCUAAAAUGGCAUCAGCCCCAAAUGAGGACGGGCAGGGGUUUUACAGUCUCCCGUAAACAGGAAGUGUUUCAGUCUGUGUAUCUACUGCUACGUGAUACCCGGUAGGCCUCUCUCUGGGUCUUCAGAACAGCUCUCUCCCCGCUUCUGCUAUCUUGCUGACGCACGCUGAUGACGUAAGCCGCCUUGCGCCUUGGGACUGGGCCUGAGAAGGGAGGAGUUAUUCAGGCCUCCGCCAGCUUCUAGGCCCUGGGGAUGGUCUUUCACCUCCCUCUUUCUGAUCUCUUUUUCAUGCUCCUCCUUGCUCCAAAGAAAAGCCGGAUGGCAAAAGAGCCCAGAACCUAUUGGAACUGACAAAAUCAAGUCACGGCGCCUACAAAGAUGAGGGGCAGAUUCUGGCUGCCUUUUAAUUUCGUCCUUCACCUGAUAUCUGUGCCAGAGAAUGAUAAAAAUCAUAAUAAAGGAAAUAAUGGAAGAGGAGACUUAUGUUACUGGGGACAUCUAACAUAAUUAUUUUCCUGAUUCAGUGGCAUGGUUCAGUCUUCCAGGAGUUCUGCUACAGAGAAGAGAGUAACCCCCAUCCAUCAUGGCCAAAGCACCCAGUCAGGCUCCGCUCUGGAUCCAGCCCGACAAAUGCAACCCUUGAAUAGGGUUUGUGCAAGCAAACUGGAUGACGACCGAAGAAACCCUGUCGCUUCUGAGAAGACACCCAAUCCAAGAAUAUACAGUCGAAUGUAAUUUGGAAUUUACGAGUCUUAUCACAUUCUCAUUCUGCUUGAGCAAUUCAAGAUAUAAGAAAAACAGACUGUCUACAUUUCUUCAGAGUUCCUCCAACUAUUGGCUUAAAAUUCCUGAAAUUAAAAUUAUAGUUCUUUGACAUCGCUUCUGUCUAAUCAUUGCUGAUACCUGGAAAACACCAAAUGGCUUACUUACACAGUGUCCCACUCUGAAAUUUCUCACAUAAAGGAUUGUCUUACACAGAAAUACUGACCAUUUUGACAAGGGAAUGGCCCUAGAAUUGGGCCAGAGCUAAAAAUAAGCAGAAUAAACAAUUUUGAUAUUCUUCUUCAAUGGUCAUAAAUCUAG
rnacentral:lncRNA from 1 species